rnacentral:rRNA from 1 species
UACGUAGGGAGCAAGCGUUGUCCGGAAUCAUUGGGCGUAAAGCGCGCGUAGGCGGCUCGAUCAGUCUGUUGUGAAAGUCCAAGGCUCAACCUUUGAAUGCCGAUGGAUACUGUCGAGCUAGAGUCCGGAAGAGGCGGGUGGAAUUCCUGGUGUAGCGGUGGAAUGCGCAGAUAUCAGGAGGAACACCAACGGCGAAGGCAGCCCGCUGGGACGGUACUGACGCUAAGGCGCGAAAGCGUGGGGAGCGAACAGG